rnacentral:rRNA from 1 species
GAUGAACGCUGGCGGCGUGCCUAAUACAUGCAAGUCGAGCGAACAGACGCGGAGCUUGCUCCUCUGACGUUAGCGGCGGACGGGUGAGUAACACGUGGAUAACCUACCUAUAAGACUGGGAUAACUUCGGGAAACCGGAGCUAAUACCGGAUAAUAUAUUGAACCGCAUGGUUCAAUAGUGAAAGACGGUUUUGCUGUCACUUAUAGAUGGAUCCGCGCCGCAUUAGCUAGUUGGUAAGGUAACGGCUUACCAAGGCAACGAUGCGUAGCCGACCUGAGAGGGUGAUCGGCCACACUGGAACGGGGACACGGUCCAGACGCCUAAGGGAGGGAGCAGUAGGGAAUCGUCCGCAAGGGGCGAAAGCCUGACGGAGCAACGCCGCGUGAGUGAUGAAGGUCUUCGGAGCGUAAAACUCUGUUAUUAGGGAAGAACAAAUGUGUAAGUAACUAUGCACGUCUUGACGGUACCGAGUCAGAAAGCCACGGCUAACUACGUG